rnacentral:rRNA from 1 species
AUUGAACGCUGGCGGCAUGCUUUACACAUGCAAGUCGAACGGCAGCACGGGAGCUUGCUCCUGGUGGCGAGUGGCGAACGGGUGAGUAAUGCAUCGGAACGUACCCAGUAGUGGGGGAUAGCCCGGCGAAAGCCGGAUUAAUACCGCAUAUUUCCUGAGGGAGAAAGCGGGGGACCUUCGGGCCUCGCGCUACUGGAGCGGCUAAUGUCGGAUUAGCUAGUUGGUGAGGUAAAGGCUCACCAAGGCGACGAUCCGUAGCUGGUCUGAGAGGAUGAUCAGCCACACUGGGACUGAGACACGGCCCAGACUCCUACGGGAGGCAGCAGUGGGGAAUUUUGGACAAUGGGGGCAACCCUGAUCCAGCCAUGCCGCGUGAGUGAAGAAGGCCUUCGGUUGUAAGACUCUUUCUAGGUGGAAGAAAGUACACUACCCCGAACUACGGGUAGGUGGAGUGACGGUACCAGUCAGAAGAAGACACCGGC